CCCUUAGAUGUCCGGGGCCGCACGCGCGCUACACUGAAGGAAUCAGCGUGGCUUUCUCCCUGACCCGAAAGGGUUGGGAAACCCGUUGAAUCUCCUUCGUGAUAGGGAUUGGGGCUUGAAAUUGUUCCCCAUGAACGAGGAAUUCCCAGUAAGCGCGAGUCAUAAGUUCGCGUUGAUUACGUCCCUGCCCUUUGUACACACCGCCCGUCGCUACUACCGAUUGAACGGUUUAGUGAGGGCCUCGGAUUGGUCUCGGCCCGCUCUUUACCGGGCGGCGCCGUUGGUCGAGAAGACGCUCGAACUUGAUCGUUUAGAGGAAGUAAAAGUCGUAACA
rnacentral:rRNA from 1 species